rnacentral:misc_RNA from 1 species
AACGCACGAGACCUGCGGACCUGCGGAGGGAUCAUUACAGGACUCGCAAGACUCCUAUAACCCUGUGAACUUACUACAAAGCACGUUGCUUCGGCGGGUGCCUCCGGGUGGUUUUCCUCCUGGAAGCGCUAAGCCCGCCGGCAGCCUACUAAAUUCUGUCUCUUUGCGUUGGCAUCUCGAGUACAAACAAAUAAGUUAAAACUUUUAACAAUGGAUCUCU